rnacentral:rRNA from 1 species
UACGUAGGGGGCGAGCGUUAUCCGGAUUCAUUGGGCGUAAAGCGCGCGUAGGCGGCCUGUUAGGUCGGGGGUCAAAUACCGGGGCUCAACCCCGGUCCGCCCCCGAUACCGGCAGGCUUGAGUCUGGUAGGGGAAGGCGGAAUUCCCAGUGUAGCGGUGGAAUGCGCAGAUAUUGGGAAGAACACCGAUGGCGAAGGCAGAUCUCUGGGCCGCAACCGACGCUGAGGCGCGAAAGCUAGGGGAGCGAACAGG